GAGUUUGAUCUUGGCUCAGAUUGAACGCUGGCGGCAUGCCUUACACAUGCAAGUCGAACGGCAGCACGGGAGCUUGCUCCUGGUGGCGAGUGGCGAACGGGUGAGUAAUGCAUCGGAACGUAUCCUGGAGUGGGGGAUAACGUAGCGAAAGUUACGCUAAUACCGCAUAUUCUGUGAGCAGGAAAGCGGGGGACCUUCGGGCCUCGCGCUCUUGGAGCGGCCGAUGUCGGAUUAGCUAGUUGGUGAGGUAAAGGCUCACCAAGGCGACGAUCCGUAGCAGGUCUGAGAGGAUGAUCUGCCACACUGGAACUGAGACACGGUCCAGACUCCUACGGGAGGCAGCAGUGGGAAUUUGGACAAUGGGGGCAACCCUGAUCCAGCCAUGCCGCGUUGAGUGAAG
rnacentral:rRNA from 1 species